AUGGUGCUGCCGGCGGCCCGUCACCGGGGCUGCGGGGCCCCGACGGACCGCACCGGGCCGGGCAGCGGCACCGGGGCCCUGCCUGCCGCCUGGCCUGGGCCAAGGGGAAACCGGGGCGGCCCAGGGCGGUGGCGGAGGGCCCAGGUAGGGCGCGUUACGUGUUCUGGAGCUCGCCGGCUGCUGGUGUGCGGGGGCCCGGGGCUUGCCCGGGAACCGGCUGCUGUCGGGGCCGGGGGGAGAGUGCCCACUUCGGGUGGACGCUCCUUGAGGUGGGCAAUGGCUCCCGGGAUGCUCGGCAGCCUCCACCGAUGCUGGGCGGGGUGCCACCAGCCUCCACCCAGCGCCGAGAGCCGCGGCCGGUUGCAGCUCCGCAGCCCGCCCCGUCCAGGCCGCCCUGCCCCGGGCCGUCUCGCAGGCGGCGGCCGCGGGCUGGCUCCGGGGAAGGGGACAUCGUGGGGCCCAUCGGACGUUUACACACCGGGCGCUGCUGCCGCCGCCCCUCUCAUUUUUCCCCAGCCGGGACCCGAGGCCGGCGGGAGAAGGCGGCCGACAGCCCGAUUCCCGCUGCCCCGGUUCCCCGCCCGAGUGCCCUUGCGCCGGCCGGACCGAGCCGGUGGCUCUGGGCAGGGCGAGCCGAGCGUACCGUGCCGGGGCUCCGGGCUCCCCCGGCCUCGCUGCGCCCGUCGACCGAGCGGGCAGCGCUCAGCCCCGGGGACCUCGACCGGCACCGGGGGUCCCGGCUCAGCCCGGGGCGAGCUCUUCCCGCGGGUAGGGCUUUUUUUAAUUUUUUUUUUUUUCGGGGUGAUUAACCCCCUUUUCCCCCAGCCCGGGCCGCCCCCGCAGCCUUACCGCCUCGCCCGUUCCUGCGGCCGGCGACGAGCUAGGGCCGCGCUGGGCGGCCGCCGAACUCCCCGGUGUCUCGGGCGUCCCGGCUCCGGUCCGGUUUUGCGAGGUCCGGGAGCUCCGGCGGCGGAAAGCGGCGGCCGGUGGAGGCGGUGGAAAGCGAAAGCCCGGUGCCGGCGGGGCUGCGGCGGGGCGGCGGGCCCCGAGCCGAGGGGGUUAAACCAGGAGCCUCCCCUUACCUUCAAAAAGUUAAAAAUGUCUGGAGCCUGCAUCUCUUAA
rnacentral:lncRNA from 1 species